GAUAAGGUGGUCUAAUAUUAGGAUAUAGGGCUCAUGCCCCUAAGGCGCCGUGAGUAGUGGCUCUUAUCU